rnacentral:lncRNA from 1 species
CCGCAACGGUAUCAUUGUCGACUAUUCAACGCACUACAGCCACGUCUAUACCUCCCGUGGUACCGUCCAUCAUCUCACGGCGCUUGUCUGAGGUGGGGUUACAUUCACAGAGGCCUUUAAGAUGUUUGCCUUUAACCCCACAACGUCAGCGAAGUCGUCUGGAGUGGUGUCGCAGCCAAUCGUCAUGGCUUCCAUCAGACUGGCAUUGUACAGUGUUCAGUGAUGAAUCCCACUUCACUGUUGAAGCAGAUGACCACUGUGUUCGUGUCUGGAGAGGACGGGGCCAGCUGUCACAAUCAGCCUUUGUUUUACAAAGACAUACAGGAAGAACCUCUGAUGUGAUGGUGUGGGGUGCUAUUUCUUAUGACAGCAAGUCAUCUUUAGUCAUCCUCCGUACAUCUUUAACAGCUCAAUGAUAUAUUGAUACCAUCCUGCGGCCGGUUGCAUUACCCUUCAUGGCACAUCAUCCUGGGGCCAUUUUCCAAGAUAAUGCCAGGCCACAUACCGCUCGCAUGUUUCUGGAUUGUCUUCGUGCUCUUCCUUGGCCAGCAAGGUCACCAGACCUUUCACCAAUAGAUCAUGUCUGGGACAUGGUAGGCCGCCAGAUUCAGGCACCACAAAAUAUCGCAGAUCUGAAGCGACAACUGAUGAAUGCCUAGAAGUAUGUAUCACAGGAUGACAUUAUGAAUAUCUACCACUCCUUGCCUUGACAAAUUCAAGCAUGCAUUGCCGCCAGGGGCGGUUCGACCAACUACUAAUUUGAACACUCAAUUGGAGAUUGUGAGCCGUGAACAGGCUAGUACAUUCAAGUAACAGAAAUCAGUUCCAGAGCUGCGAUUGGGCACUACAAGAGGAAUGAGCAGCAAUGCCUCAACAACUCAUUGACAACCUCAUACUCAGCAUGGACAAACAAUGUGAAAACUGCACAGCAGUCAGGGAAUAUCAUAUCCCCUACUAAAGGCUGGAUGUUUCUUGCUGGACUCCUGUCACAUGAAUGUUUCGGCCUUCUGUUACAUUGUGCUUCAUGCUACGUUUUCAGUAUUACUUUACUGAAAACCUUUCCUUUUAUCCUUUUGAUUUAUUUUUUGGGAAAUUUUGCUUACAUUACCCAUGUUCUUACAUCUUGGAGAUCUUAUUAUUUAUAUUGAUUUCAAAAGCUUUUGCACAAUGUUAUAUUGAAAGAAAAAAAAUAGGCUCGUCCUUAAUUUUUGCACAGCAGUGUACAAUUACUCUAUAAUUAUAAUGUAAUUGCAAUUACACUGUAAAUGUCAUUAAAAUAAUACUUACUUUGCAAUUAUUACUUGCAUGCAAGAAUAUAACUUAAUUACAUGUAACUGAAUUACAUUUUUGCAGCUCUGGAAGAGAGACUAGAGAAAACUUCUUGAAAUUUAAGAUUACCCAAGAAACUGAAGGUAAAUGUGCAAAAAGAUUAAAGGCAGCUGCAGAUUAAAUUGGGGGGGGGAGCAGACUAGGUAUAAUGUAAGUAUUUUUGUAACUAACAAAUUAGUAAAUUCCGAGUUUUUCCAACAUUCAUAUUGCUUUCACUAGUCUCAAAAAUUUUUAUUUAUAAGGCUUUUAAACGCUGGACCAAGUUUGGAAUAAAUUCGAUUCUACAUAAGCAAUUUCCAUGAAUGAGUGCGACUGUGUAAUGGAUUAAGUUCAUUAUGCAAGACAUUACGGUACCAAGAAAAUUAAUCAAGAAACUGUAUUAAUUGUAAUGAAUAUUUAUUAAUUUUUAAAAAUAUGUACAUGUAAAAAACUUAUAGUUUUAAUCAUGAUAUAAAACUAAUUUCAUACCAACAUCUAAAAAAGUUUAAAUGUUGAUAAUGUUAAAAAAAUUUAUCAUUUCAAAAUAUUUAUUUGUACCUUUUAAGUAGUUACAAUAAACAAAUAACAUGCUUAAAUAUAAUAAAUAAAAGAUCUUAACCCUUCAGGUACAUCAGCAUAAUAAAAAGAUGCCUAAAAAUGAUAUAUAAAAUUUGCUUUCCCUUCUCACACUAAUAUUAAAGAUUUGAACAUACAUAUGAAACUACGGUAUAUACAUUACUAUAGAAUACAUUCUUCCCUUAAAGAUCACAGUAUGCAAAAAUACAAAAACAUUUACAUAUAUUCAGUAGAAUUUUAGAGAUUUAUAAAUUCAACAGUGCCUCAAUAAAUAAUUUUCUGAAAGAUAUAUGUAUGAGACAAAUAAGAGAUUCAUGUUAGAGAAAAGAAUUACACAGAAAUAUUUAUAGGAUUUUAAACUACUUAUUCUGAACAAUUAAAUACCAUGUUUCUCUGAAAUUAAGACCUAUACAUAAAAUAAGCUCUAGCAUGAUUUUUCAGGGUACUUUUUAUAUAAGACUUAGUUUAAAUCAUCAGCCAGAUGGGCACUUUAUUCCCAAAAGGCAGAAGCAACACACAUGCAAAUAUGAAACAGACAUGGUUGCAAUAAUUAGAAUCUUCAGUAUUCAAUAUAUUGCAUAAGCAAUGAACAUUUAGCACCUGAUUUAAUAAUAAACUUAAAGGAUAAUAAAUUUUGAUGCUCAGAUAAAAUGAAUGCAAAAAGAUAAACCUAUUCCGUUGAGCACAAGAAAACUCUUGUGGGAAACUCUAGGAAUUAAAAGUCUUGCAGCUUUCUGAAAAGAGAAGAAAUUAAAUCUGCGAAUUGUCCAGAAAUGGCGAUGAAAUUACAAUAAAUAUCAAUUGAUAGGUUGUUUGAGGUAAAUAACUAGAAGCAUUAUUUCCUGAACUCUGCACACAUCUGCGAAUGGAUUACUAACAGCAGGGCAAAGUGUUUGAUUGUUUGCAGGGCUGAUAUUCAAGCAUAUGCCCUUGUAAUAGCACCACCACAGCUAGACAUAUUUCCAGAUGAAUUCAAAGCAUCACAACACUGGGCAAAUGGCUUCCUUCAGCAACACGCAUUGUCUUUAAGAACAUCGACAACACUCUUCAAAUCAAGAGAUACUGAAGUGAUUAAAUGUGCACUUGCAUUGAAGUGUUUCAUUGAUGGCAGCAACUCCUGAACAUGACUACUAUUGAUGAAACAGCAGUGUUUAUGGGUCAAGGGCCUCAAAAUACCAUUGACCACAUGGGUGCCUCUGCAAUAUACAUUCCCUGCACUGGUUACAAAACUACACACAUUACAUGUACUUUGACAAUUCGUCUCAAUGGACAAUUGAAUUAAUUAAACGUAAAUAUAACACAUGUAUAUAUGGAUAAAUAAGGUAUCUCUAAAUUCUUGAUCCAUUUUGGUUAAAAUGUAAUUAUUUCUGCUUUACGUGCCAAGAACUGACUGUAGAAUGAUAACAACAAGUUCUUAUUGUAAUAUGUUUAACAGCAUUACCAUAUGAAGCCUCAAGUCAAAUUUGAGCAUAAUUUUUUGAAAACUCAGCUCCAAAUAUUCAACUUCUCAUUAAAUAAAAUUUGAGAACAAGCACUGUAGAAAAUGAAAGAAGUUCAGAUAGAAGUUUCAACAAAAUUUAAAGAUAAUUGGGCAAAGAGUUUAGCAAGUGAACCACAGUCCAACUGCAUCAGUCUGCUGUUUUAGUAAAACAUUCUGAAGCUGCUACUAAUUCUUAACAGAAUUUUGCAAACUUUGUUUUAACAGGACAGUGUAUCAUCAUAUUUCACAAUUGAUGUUUAUGAUUAUCUCAAUAUAGCUUUUCUUCGCACAGGAAUAGACAAAGACUUUGGUCAGCAUACUCAACUGACAUUAGUUAGAUUAUGGCAAAGCUUAUGAGAGAUAUCUGUAUAUAGGAAAAGAAUUCCUUCAUGGAGGACCUUCUAAGAGAAACUCACUUGCAUUUAUAUCACCUAUUCAGAAAAAUAUGGGAUCUUUCAUGCAGCCAGCCUAUUCAUCAGAAUUUGAACCCAGAAUAAACUACCAGUGCUUGGGUUUUUAUCAAAUGAAAGUCAAUAAUUUUUAAAAACCUUGAAACUGAAUAUAAACUGCUGAAGGUAAUACAUUUCAGAUAUAAAAAUAAAAGUUUCGAGUAACAACAGAACAUUGGAGAUGAGUUUUGAAGUGAAAGGCAGUCAUAUUAAAGUGCAUUACAUUACUUCAUCCUCAUUAAUUUAUUUCAAUAAUUUCAUCCUGUUUAACUAAACUGGUCUCGACUUUAUGGGUACCAUGUAUUUAUAUAAGUUAAUACGAGUGUGUAUAUAGUAUAUAUACAUACAUACAUAUACGCACACAUCCAUGCAUAUACAUAAUGGUAGCUGGAGACAUUUUUUUAUUUCAGUCAGGAGGCUUCUUUGACAAUCUAUGCAUUGGUACCAUGCAGCUGAUUUUCUGACACAUUUAUCACCCAAGUGAUCACUUUUCAAGCUCAUCCUUAAUUUAAUAUCAUACAUGUAUGAUGUAUGUAAUAUACAUAUGCACGCACACACAUGAUAAAACAAAAUGAAAAACUAAAAUAAAGCAUGUCCUCUACACCAAAAAUAAGCCUUAACUGUGAGGUUGCAUAACAUUAGAUUUAAAAAAAUGUACUAAUGCAGCAUUAAAAAAUAACAGGUAAUACUAAGCUCAUUCCUUAUUAUGAAUACACAUUUCUCAACUGAUAAGUCACAACACACAGGUAAAUCAUGAAACCUUAAAAAGUAUACUCUAAAAUCUUUGAAUUGAACACAUUUAUAGACCCCACUUAGUUUUUGAUGUCGCAUUAUACAACAUUUAAACUAACAUUUUAACUUUUACUGGUAUGGUUACAAAUAUACAUUCCAUAAGCACUUUUAAAAUCUAGUAGACCUUCAAUAUACUCAAAUAGGAGAGACCAGGGGGAAAAAGUCUAUGCUACUUAGAUAAGUUAAUAUGAUUUCUGAAUUUUACAUUUUGAUUUAAGUUCAACAUACUGAAAUUCUACUGUAUAUAAUUAGUUAGCCAAAAAAUAACAAUAAUUUCAUUUAAUAAUAAAAUAAUAUUUUCAUUGGGAAGAUACUGAGGUACAUGAUAUUCCAUAUGUAAGUAAAUAAAUAAAAAAAAUUAGCAAAAUGUCAUUCUCAGAUCCCUAUAACAUGUAAAACAUAUUAAAUAUAAAUUUACAUGGAAAUAGAGAAAUAUUAGGCAGAAAACAAUUACUGAGGUGAUUUGCAUGUUGAAUACAGGCAACAUAUUGACAAACUUAUUAGACAACACCAGAUACAUAUCACAUAUUAAAUGUAAUGGAAGAGAAGAGGAAGAGAAGGAAUUUGAAAUAAAUUAUUCAAAGUGCAAACCACUGUGUUGCCAGAUCGUGCAUUUUCAAGUAAGCAUGCUAUUAAUCAAAACAGGUUGGCAAUUUGGUAAAAAAAGCCUUUCAUAUAUAUUUGUAACUAUACAACAUCAUG